GAUGAAGAACGUAGCGAACGUGCGAAACGUAAUGUGAAUUGCAGAAUUCAGUGAAUCAUCGAAUCUUUGAACGCAUCUUGCGCUCCUUGGUAUUCCGAGGAGCAUGCCUGUUUGAGUGUCGUGAAUACUCUCAACUUCAACCCUUUUUUCGGAAAGGGAGGAAGGUUGGACUUGGGUGUUUGUUGAAGUGCGAGCUUCGACUCAUCCUAAAUGCAUUAGCUAUCUGCCUCGAUCACACACAAUGUGAUAAUUAAAACUAAAGCAUUGUUUAAUGAUCAAGUCGAGACUGCUUCUAACUGUCGCAAGACAAUAACGUGCAUACAUUUGUGCAUGUCAUUUGACCUCAAAUCAGGUAGGACUACCCGCUGAACUUAAGCAUAUCAAUAAGCGGAGGA
rnacentral:misc_RNA from 1 species